UACAGAGGGUGCGAGCGUUGUCCGGAAUCACUGGGCGUAAAGGGCGCGUAGGUGGUGGCUUAAGCGUGCGGUGAAAGCUCGGGGCUCAACUCCGAGUCGGCCGUGCGAACUGGGCUCACUGGAGCAUAGUAGAGGCAGGUGGAAUUCCGGGUGUAGCGGUGGAAUGCGUAGAGAUCGGAGGAACACCAAAGGCGAAGGCAGUGUCCUGGGGAGUACCUGACGCUCAGGUGCGAAAGCCAGGGGAGCGGAACGGG
rnacentral:rRNA from 1 species